rnacentral:tRNA from 1 species
GCCGAGGUGGUGGAAUUGGUAGACACGUUGGACUUAAAAUCCAAUGGACUUUAAAAUCCGUGCCGGUUCAAGUCCGGCCCUCGGUACCA